CCUACGGGUGGCAGCAGUGAGGAAUAUUGGUCAAUGGACGAGAGUCUGAACCAGCCAAGUAGCGUGAAGGAUGACUGCCCUAUGGGUUGUAAACUUCUUUUAUAUGGGAAUAAAAAGUUGCACGCGUGGGAUUUUGUAUGUACCAUAUGAAUAAGGAUCGGCUAACACCGUGCCAGCAGCCGCGGUAAUACGGAGGAUCCGAGCGUUAUCCGGAUUUAUUGGGUUUAAAGGGGGCGUAGGUGGUUUGUUAAGUCAGUUGUGAAAGUUUGCGGCGCAACCGUAACAUUGCAGUUGAAACUGGCAGUCUUGAGUACAGUAGAGGUGGGCGGAAUUCGUGGUGUAGCGGUGAAAUGCUUAGAUAGCACGAAGAACUCCGAUUGCGAAGGCAGUUCACUGGACUGCAACUGACACUGAGGCUCGAAAGUGUGGGUAUCAAACAGGAUUAGAUACCCCAGUAGUC
rnacentral:rRNA from 1 species